ACCGCACUUUAGUGUGUGUGGUGGAAAGUUUUUUCGGUACGAGAUGAGCCCGCGGCCUAUCAGCUUGUUGGUGGGGUAAUGGCCUACCAAGGCGUCGACGGGUAGCCGGCCUGAGAGGGUGGACGGCCACAUUGGGACUGAGAUACGGCCCAGACUCCUACGGGAGGCAGCAGUGGGGAAUAUUGCACAAUGGGCGCAAGCCUGAUGCAGCGACGCCGCGUGAGGGAUGACGGCCUUCGGGUUGUAAACCUCUUUCGACAGGGACGAAGCUUUUUGUGACGGUACCUGUAUAAGAAGCACCGGCUAACUACGUGCCAGCAGCCGCGGUAAUACGUAGGGUGCGAGCGUUGUCCGGAAUUACUGGGCGUAAAGAGCUCGUAGGUGGUUUGUCGCGUCGUCUGUGAAAUUCCGGGGCUUAACUCCGGGCGUGCAGGCGAUACGGGCAUAACUUGAGUGCUGUAGGGGAGACUGGAAUUCCUGGUGUAGCGGUGGAAUGCGCAGAUAUCAGGAGGAACACCGAUGGCGAAGGCAGGUCUCUGGGCAGUAACUGACGCUGAGGAGCGAAAGCAUGGGGAGCGAACAGGAUUAGAUACCCUGGUAGUCCAUGCCGUAAACGGUGGGCGCUAGGUGUGAGGGUCUUCCACGACUUUCGUGCCGUAGCUAACGCAUUAAGCGCCCCGCCUGGGGAGUACGGCCGCAAGGCUUCUACUCCAAGGAAUUGACGGGGGCCCGCACAAGCGGCGGAGCAUGUGGAUUAAUUCGAUGCAACGCGAAGAACCU
rnacentral:rRNA from 1 species